GUGUCAGCCGCCGCGGUAAGACGUAGGGUCCAAGCGUUAUCCGGAUUUACUGGGCGUAAAGCGCGCGUAGGCGGUCUGUUAAGUGCACAAGUGAAAGCUCCGGGCUCAACUCGGAAAUUGCUUUGCAUACUGGCAGGCUGGAGGGACGCAGAGGUCUGUGGAAUUCCUGGUGUAACGGUGAAAUGUGUUGAUAUCAGGAGGAACACCCAUGGCGAAGGCAGCAGACUGGGCGUUUCCUGACGCUGAGGCGCGAAAGCGUGGGUAGCAAACAGGAUUAGAAACCCGGGUAGUCC
rnacentral:rRNA from 1 species